rnacentral:rRNA from 2 species
CGCAUAUCAAUGAGGGGAGGAAAAGAAACCAACAGGGAUUCCCUCAGUAACGGCGAGUGAGCGGCAAAAGCUCAAAUUUGAAAUCCCCCGGGAAUUGUAAUUUGAAGAGAUUUGGGUCCGGCCGGCGGGGGUUAAGUCCACUGGAAAGUGGCGCCACAGAGGGUGACAGCCCCGUGAACCCCCUUAACGCCCUCAUCCCAGAUCUCCAAGAGUCGAGUUGUUUGGGAAUGCAGCUCUAAGUGGGUGGUAAAUUCCAUCUAAAGCUAAAUACCGGCGAGAGACCGAUAGCGAACAAGUACAGUGAUGGAAAGAUGAAAAGCACUUUGAAAAGAGAGUGAAAAAGUACGUGAAAUUGUUGAAAGGGAAGGGCUUGCAAGCAGACACUUAACUGGGCCAGCAUCGGGGCGGCGGGGAACAAAACCACCGGGGAAUGUACCUUUCGAGGAUUAUAACCCCGGUCCUUAUUUCCACACCGCCCCGAGGCCUGCAAUCUAAGGAUGCUGGCGUAAUGGUUGCAAGUCGCCCGUCUUGAAACACGGACCG